CGAGAUCCAAGCAAAUACACCCCAACCAAUCGACCCCCAUGACGCGGAUGCAUGACGUGGGACAAAUAUUUUGAAAUCCCGCCCAAACCCGGACUUCAAUCCUUCCAACAAAUCAAAAUUUAAUUUUCCGCCUUUUUUUCAUUUUUAUUUUUGCGCCACGGGCCUUCCCUUCCUAUCCCUUCACACCCCAGGGGCAAAUUUUACACACACUCGCACACCGCACCAACCAAAGCAAACGACCCAAAGGCUUAUCUCUCUCAUUGUUCUCUCUCUCGCCUUAUCCUCUCCCUUCACACAAAGGUUUAGCUGAACAUGGGGAAAUCAAGAGCUGCUGCUCCCAAAAAAGCCGAUGCGAAGUUGAAGACCAAAAGCUCUGGCGCGAGCAAGAAGGCUGCAAAGGAUCCGAACAAGCCUAAGAGGCCUGCGAGUGCCUUCUUCGUUUUCAUGGAGGAUUUCAGAGUGAAAUUCAAGAAGGAUCAUCCUAAUAACAAAUCUGUGGCCGCUGUCGGUAAAGCUGGUGGUGAUAAAUGGAAAUCACUUUCAGAGGCCGAGAAAGCUCCCUACAUUGCCAAGGCAGAAAAGAGGAAGGCUGAGUACACCAAGACCAUGAAUGCUUACAACAAGCGCAUAGCUGAGGGAGGUAACGGAGCGGAUGAUGAAGAGUCCGAUAAGUCCAAGUCUGAGGUGCAAAACGAGGAUGAAGAUGAUGACGAGAGUGGAGAGGAAGAAGAUGAUGACGAGUAGAGCAGGAAAGUCAGGUAUCGGAAUGAAGGAGGAGCAAUUUGUGUUAGGGUUGUUGGUUAAAAGAUAUUGAAUGACCUGCAUUUUCUGACUAAAGCUCUGUGUCUGAUGAUAAGAUAGCCACAUUUGUAGGAUUAGGGAAGGGAAAAGAAGAACACAAGGGGUUAAUGUUUCGGGACUCAUCCACCUGAUUCCCCAUAUCGUUUCUGUACUUAGUGAUCGUUUUUAUGUUCAAAUGACUUCUAUUUCGCUCUAGUUAAUAUCCUUUUUAUUAUAUGAUCGGAUUAAAUUGCCUUGAGCAUUUUGAAAUGGUUAUGACCUUUAGAGAUGAACUUACCUAGAACAUGGUUGUCACGUUGUUCGUAUUUUGAGCUAGUAAGAGCAUGUGAUUAGCUUGGAGUACCGGCAACCAGUGAUCGUGGUUUAGGAAAGCUGUCUGGCUUAAAUUAGUUUCAGGCUUCCAAAGACUUGGGAGUGAGAAUGGCUUUGUCUGCUUCUGGGU
rnacentral:sRNA from 1 species